rnacentral:rRNA from 1 species
AGUUUGAUCCUGGCUCAGGAUGAACGCUGGCGGCGUGCCUAAUGCAUGCUAGUCGAGCGAGAAAAAUUCUUCGGAGUUUUUCUAGCGGCGGACAGGUGAGUAACACGUGGGCAACCUGCCUCAUAGAGGGGAAUAGCCUUCCGAAAGGAAGAUUAAUACCGCGUAAUAUUGUUGAAAGGCAUCUUUUAACAAUCAAAGGAGCAAUCCGCUAUGAGAUGGGCCCGCGGCGCAUUAGCUAGUUGGUGAGGUAACGGCUCACCAAGUGCGACGAUGCGUAGCCGACCUGAGAGGGUGAUCGGCCACAUUGGAACUGAGACACGGUCCAGACUCCUACGGGAGGCAGCAGUGGGGAAUAUUGCACAAUGGCGGGAAACCCUGAUGCAGCAACGCCGCGUGAGUGAUGAAGGUCUUCGGAUUGUAAAGCUCUGUCUUUAGGGACGAUAAUGACGGUACCUAAGGAGGAAGCCACGGCUAACUACGUGCCAGCAGCCGCGGUAAUACGUAGGUGGCAAGCGUUAUCCGGAUUUACUGGGCGUAAAGGGAGUGUAGGCGGAUAUUUAAGUGGGAUGUGAAAUACCCGAGCUUAACUUGGGAGCUGCAUUCCAAACUGGAUAUCUAGAGUGCAGGAGAGGAGAAUGGAAUUCCUAGUGUAGCGGUGAAAUGCGUAGAGAUUAGGAAGAACACCAGUGGCGAAGGCGAUUCUCUGGACUGUAACUGACGCUGAGGCUCGAAAGCGUGGGGAGCAAACAGGAUUAGAUACCCUGGUAGUCCACCCCGUAAACGAUGAUUCUAGGUGUAGG